GCCCCUUUAGCAUAGUUCGGUUAAUGCGCUCGCUUUGUAAGCGAGAGAUCGUUGGUUCGAAUCCAACAGGGGGCA
rnacentral:tRNA from 1 species